rnacentral:rRNA from 1 species
UGCAAGUCGAACGCUGAAGCUUGGUGCUUGCACUGGGUGGAUGAGUGGCGAACGGGUGAGUAAUACGUGAGUAACCUGCCCUUGACUCUGGGAUAAGCCUGGGAAACUGGGUCUAAUACUGGAUACGACAUGUCACUGCAUGGUGGUGUGUGGAAAGGGUUUUACUGGUUUUGGAUGGGCUCACGGCCUAUCAGCUUGUUGGUGGGGUAAUGGCCUACCAAGGCGACGACGGGUAGCCGGCCUGAGAGGGUGACCGGCCACACUGGGACUGAGACACGGCCCAGACUCCUACGGGAGGCAGCAGUGGGGAAUAUUGCACAAUGGGCGGAAGCCUGAUGCAGCGACGCCGCGUGAGGGAUGACGGCCUUCGGGUUGUAAACCUCUUUCAGCACGGAAGAAGCGAGAGUGACGGUACGUGCAGAAGAAGCGCCGGCUAACUACGUGCCAGCAGCCGCGGUAAU